CAGCCGCCGCGGUAAUACAGAGGGUGCGAGCGUUAAUCGGAUUUACUGGGCGUAAAGCGUGCGUAGGCGGCUUUUUAAGUCGGAUGUGAAAUCCCUGAGCUUAACUUAGGAAUUGCAUUCGAUACUGGGAAGCUAGAGUAUGGGAGAGGAUGGUAGAAUUCCAGGUGUAGCGGUGAAAUGCGUAGAGAUCUGGAGGAAUACCGAUGGCGAAGGCAGCCAUCUGGCCUAAUACUGACGCUGAGGUACGAAAGCAUGGGGAGCAAACAGGAUUAGAUACCCCCGUAGUCCCUGUCCUUAUACC
rnacentral:rRNA from 1 species